UGAUCAUGGCUCAGAUUGAACGCUGGCGGCAGGCCUAACACAUGCAAGUCGAACGGUAACAGGAAGAAGCUUGCUUCUUUGCUGACGAGUGGCGGACGGGUGAGUAAUGUCUGGGAAACUGCCCGAUGGAGGGGGAUAACUACUGGAAACGGUAGCUAAUACCGCAUAACGUCGCAAGACCAAAGAGGGGGACCUUCGGGCCUCUUGCCAUCGGAUGUGCCCAGAUGGGAUUAGCUUGUUGGUGAGGUAACGGCUCACCAAGGCGACGAUCCCUAGCUGGUCUGAGAGGAUGACCAGCCACACUGGAACUGAGACACGGUCCAGACUCCUACGGGAGGCAGCAGUGGGGAAUAUUGCACAAUGGGCGCAAGCCUGAUGCAGCCAUGCCGCGUGUAUGAAGAAGGCCUUCGGGUUGUAAAGUACUUUCAGCGGGGAGGAAGGGAGUAAAGUUAAUACCUUUGCUCAUUGACGUUACCCGCAGAAGAAGCACCGGCUAACUCCGUGCCAGCAGCCGCGGUAAUACGGAGGGUGCAAGCGUUAAUCGGAAUUACUGGGCGUAAAGCGCACGCAGGCGGUUGAUUAAGUCAGAUGUGAAAUCCCCGGGCUCAACCUGGGAACUGCAUCUGAUACUGGUCAGCUUGAGUCUCGUAGAGGGGGGUAGAAUUCCAGGUGUAGCGGUGAAAUGCGUAGAGAUCUGGAGGAAUACCGGUGGCGAAGGCGGCCCCCUGGACGAAGACUGACGCUCAGGUGCGAAAGCGUGGGGAGCAAACAGGAUUAGAUACCCUGGUAGUCCACGCCGUAAACGAUGUCGACUUGGAGGUUGUGCCCUUGAGGCGUGGCUUCCGGAGCUAACGCGUUAAGUCGACCGCCUGGGGAGUACGGCCGCAAGGUUAAAACUCAAAUGAAUUGACGGGGGCCCGCACAAGCGGUGGAGCAUGUGGUUUAAUUCGAUGCAACGCGAAGAACCUUACCUGGUCUUGACAUCCACGGAAGUUUUCAGAGAUGAGAAUGUGCCUUCGGGAACCGUGAGACAGGUGCUGCAUGGCUGUCGUCAGCUCGUGUUGUGAAAUGUUGGGUUAAGUCCCGCAACGAGCGCAAC
rnacentral:rRNA from 1 species